UUAUUGCCAUCAUUCUUUAGGCUAACUAGUAGACCAUAAAGAAUUGCAACUUUCCAACAAACUCAUCAUAUCACUAAUCUGCAUUCACUUAGCAAUUAUCUUGCACAAGUGACGUUAGUCCACAUAUAAUAUAAUCAUGGUAUCACAGCACAUAUAGUCAUUUGUGUGUGCCUUGUAUCAUGAGAGGUAAUAAUAUGGAUACCAAAUAUGACUCUAGCAAGAAAAAAUAUUAAAAUAAUAUGCUAGUCAGAAGUCAUACCAUGUCCAUGACGAGCAUCAGGUCUUGGAGAGUAACUCAUAGAGAGCUGAUGAGGAAAGAGAUAUACAAAUUCCGUUGGAUCUGCAACUGCAAAGUCCUUGAAAUGUUGUAUGAAGCUUUAUCUUCAAGCUCACUGUAAUAUCCUGAACCAACGUCUCGUCAAUGGUGCUUUAGUUUAAUCAUGAAGGUCGUUGAGUCCCCUAAGAUGUAGAGUCCUGAACUUGAAGAUUCUGUUUCCAUCAUCUUCAUAACCUUCUCCUUUGUAGUAACUCUAAGCAACCAAAUUGGCUUGUCCCUCGUAACAGAGCCAAAAUUAUCCAGUUGGAAUCUGAAUACCCGACAAGUACUAAGUACUGAAUUGUCUUUAGGUCAGGGUAUCAGAAUCCGCACAAUCUGCUUUACAACUUGAUUGAGAUCAUAUUGUUGUGCAAUCACUCAAUCUGGAUCCCUUUAAG
rnacentral:lncRNA from 1 species